UACGUAGGGGGCAAGCGUUGUCCGGAAUCAUUGGGCGUAAAGCGCGUGUAGGCGGCCCGAUAAGUCCGCUGUGAAAGUCCAGGGCUCAACCCUGGAAUGCCGGUGGAUACUGUCGGGCUCGAGUCCGGAAGAGGCGAGUGGAAUUCCUGGUGUAGAGGUGAAAUGCGCAGAUAUCAGGAGGAACACCGGUGGCGAAGGCGGGUCUCUGGGCCGAAAUUGACGCUGAGGAGCGAAAGCGUGGGGAGCAAACAGG
rnacentral:rRNA from 1 species